rnacentral:rRNA from 1 species
AGUUUGAUCCUGGCUCAGGAUGAACGCCGGCGGCGUGCGUAAUACAUGCAAGUCGAGCGGGGCCCGCAAGGGUCCAGCGGCAAACGGGUGAGUAACACGUUGGUAACCUGCCCCUCGGAUCGGAAUACCGGGGAGAAAUCUCCGCUAAUGCCGGAUAUGUGCGCCUGGCUCGGGCCGGGCGGACGAAAGGGGGCCGAAAGGCCUCGCCGGGGGAUGGGCCUGCGGCGCAUCAGCCAGUUGGCGGGACAAAGGCCCACCAAAGCGAGGAUGCGUAGCCGGACUGAGAGGUCGGCCGGCCACAUUGGAACUGAGACACGGUCCAGACUCCUACGGGAGGCAGCAGUAGGGAGUAUUUGGCAAUGGGGGAAACCCUGACCGAGCAACGCCGCGUGUGCGAUGGAGUCCCUCAGGGACGUGAAGCACUGUGGGGGGCCGCCAAACGGGCGGGCAGGAAAUGGCCCGUCCCCGAGGAGCCCCCUAGAAAGCGACUGCUAACCACGUGCCAGCAGCAGCGGUAAUACGUGGGUCGCAAGCGUUAUCCGGAAUCAUUGGGCGUAAAGAGUGAGCAGGCGGUCCGGGAAGUCCGCGGUGAAAUGCGGGGGCUCAACCCCCGCAGGCCGCGGAUACUUCCGGUCUGGGGUGCGGGAGAGGCGGACGGAACUCCGCGUGUAGCGGUGAAAUGCACUGAUACGCGGAAGAACACCGGUGGCGAAGGCGGUCCGCCAGACCGAUACCGACGCUCAGUCACGAAAGCGUGGGGAGCAAAUAGGAUUAGAUACCCUAGUAGUCCACGCCGUAAACGAUGGGGGCCAGGGCGCGGGGUCGACCCGCGUCCGAAGCAAACGCAUUAAGCCCCCCGCCUGGGUACUACGUUCGCAAGAAUAAAACUCAAAGGAAUUGACGG